AUACGGAGGGUGCAAGCGUUAAUCGGAAUUACUGGGCGUAAAGCGCGCGUAGGCGGCUUGAUAAGUCGGAUGUGAAAUCCCCGGGCUUAACCUGGGAAUUGCAUUCGAUACUGUCAGGCUAGAGUGUGGUAGAGGGAAGUGGAAUUUCCGGUGUAGCGGUGAAAUGCGUAGAUAUCGGAAAGAACAUCAGUGGCGAAGGCGGCUUCCUGGAUCAACACUGACGCUGAGGUGCGAAAGCGUGGGGAGCAAACAGGAUUAGAUACCCCAGUAGUCC
rnacentral:rRNA from 1 species